rfam:Brassica napus, WGS project CCCW01000000 data, contig: 5843
GGAAUAUAAGAAUAUGUCUCUUAAUUUUUAAUUAAUAAAACUAAGAACCGGUUCUUAAACGUCAUAUUUAAAAACCAGUUCUUAGCAUUUUUAGUUAAAAAUUAAGAGACAGAUUCUUAUAUUCC